rnacentral:snoRNA from 1 species
GAGCGAUGAUGUCAAACUGCUGAACCUGAAGUGUUUUUGAACAGAAACACGUCAUGAAGGUCUCUACACUUGAACUGAGCUCA